rnacentral:rRNA from 1 species
CGAGGAAUAUUGGUCAAUGGACGAAAGUCUGAACCAGCCAUGCCGCGUGAAGGAAUAAGGCCCUAUGGGUCGUAAACUUCUUUUGUAUGUGAGCAAUAAGGUCCACGUGUGGACCGAUGAGAGUAGCAUACGAAUAAGCAUCGGCUAACUCCGUGCCAGCAGCCGCGGUAAUACGGAGGAUGCAAGCGUUAUCCGGAUUCAUUGGGUUUAAAGGGUGCGUAGGCGGCUUGGUAAGUCAGCGGUGAAAUUCCAGUGCUCAACAUUGGCCGUGCCGUUGAUACUGCUGGGCUUGAAUGCGGAUGUCGUGGGAGGAAUGUGUGGUGUAGCGGUGAAAUGCAUAGAUAUCGGGAGGAACACCAGUGGCGAAGGCGGCCUACUGGGCACCAACUGACGCUGAGGCUCGAAAGUAUGGGGUAGCAAACAGGAUUAGAUACCCUGGUAGU